rnacentral:rRNA from 1 species
GGCCGCGGGAAUUCGAUUCAGGCCUAACACAUGCAAGUCGAACGGGACUUGUUAAGUUGAAACUUCGGUCGAUUCUUUUCAAGUCUAGUGGCGGACGGGUGAGUAACGCGUGGGUAACCUGCCUCACACUGGGGGAUAACAGUCAGAAAUGACUGCUAAUACCGCAUAAGCGCACAGCAUCGCAUGAUGCAGUGUGAAAAACUCCGGUGGUGUGAGAUGGACCCGCGUUGGAUUAGCUAGUUGGCAGGGCAGCGGCCUACCAAGGCGACGAUCCAUAGCCGGCCUGAGAGGGUGAACGGCCACAUUGGGACUGAGACACGGCCCAGACUCCUACGGGAGGCAGCAGUGGGGAAUAUUGCACAGUGGGGGAAACCCUGAUGCAGCGACGCCGCGUGAAGAAAGGGGUAUCUCGGUAUGUAAACUUCUAUCAGCAGGGAAGAUAAUGAC